UGGGGAAUAUUGCACAAUGGGCGCAAGCCUGAUGCAGCAACGCCGCGUGAACGAUGAAGGUCUUCGGAUCGUAAAGUUCUGUUGCAGGGGAAGAUAAUGACGGUACCCUGUGAGGAAGCCCCGGCUAACUACGUGCCAGCAGCCGCGGUAAUACGUAGGGGGCUAGCGUUAUCCGGAAUUAUUGGGCGUAAAGAGCUUGUAGGCGGUUCGUCGCGUCUGGUGUGAAAGCCCAUCGCUUAACGGUGGGUUUGCGCCGGGUACGGGCGGGCUAGAGUGCAGUAGGGGAGACUGGAAUUCCCGGUGUAACGGUGGAAUGUGUAGAUAUCGGGAAGAACACCAAUGGCGAAGGCAGGUCUCUGGGCUGUUACUGACGCUGAGAAGCGAAAGCGUGGGGAGCGAACAGG
rnacentral:rRNA from 1 species